rnacentral:rRNA from 1 species
UACGUAGGUGACCAGCGUUGUCCGGAUUUAUUGGGCGUAAAGAGCGUGUAGGCGGCCAUACAGGUCCGUUGUGAAAACUGGAGGCUCAACCUCCAGACGUCGACGGAAACCGUAUGGCUAGAGUCCGGAAGAGGAGAGUGGAAUUCCUGGUGUAGCGGUGAAAUGCGCAGAUAUCAGGAAGAACGCCCGUGGCGAAGGCGGCUCUCUGGGACGGUACUGACGCUGAGACGCGAAAGCGUGGGGAGCGAACAGG